rnacentral:rRNA from 1 species
GACGAACGCUGGCGGCGUGCUUAACACAUGCAAGUCGAACGGAAAGGCCCUGCUUUUGUGGGGUGCUCGAGUGGCGAACGGGUGAGUAACACGUGAGUAACCUGCCCUUGACUUUGGGAUAACUUCAGGAAACUGGGGCUAAUACCGGAUAGGAGCUCCUGCUGCAUGGUGGGGGUUGGAAAGUUUCGGCGGUUGGGGAUGGACUCGCGGCUUAUCAGCUUGUUGGUGGGGUAGUGGCUUACCAAGGCUUUGACGGGUAGCCGGCCUGAGAGGGUGACCGGCCACAUUGGGACUGAGAGACGGCGCAGACUCCUACGGGAGGCAGAAGUGGGGAAUAUUGCACAAUGGGCGGAAGCCUGAUGCAGCAACGCCGCGUGCGGGAUGACGGCCUUCGGGUUGUAAACCGCUUUCGCCUGUGACGAAGCGUGAGUGACGGUAAUGGGUAAAGAAGCACCGGCUAACUACGUG